GACGAACGCUGGCGGCGUGCUUAACACAUGCAAGUCGAGCGGUAAGGCCCUUUCGGGGUACGACGAGCGGCGAACGGGUGAGUAACACGUGGGUGACCUGCCCUCAGCUCUGGGAUAAGCCUGGGAAGCCGGGUCUAAUACUGGAUAUGACUCCAUGACGCAUGUUGUGGGGUGGAAAGCCUUGUGCGGCUGAGGAUGGGCCCGCGGCCUGUCAGCUUGUUGGUGGGGUGAUGGCCUACCAAGGCGA
rnacentral:rRNA from 1 species